rnacentral:rRNA from 1 species
GGCGGCGUGCCUAACACAUGCAAGUCAAGGGGGCCCAGCAAUGGGCAACCGGCGAACGGGUGCGUAACACGUGAGCAACCUACCGAACUGUGGGGGAUAGCCGGCCUAACGGCCGAGUAAUACCGCAUACGCUCUCAGAGAGGCAUUUCUUUGGGAGGAAACCUACGGGACAGAUCGAGGGGCUCGCGGCCUAUCAGCUAGUUGGCGAGGUAACGGCUCACCAAGGCAACGACGGGUAGCUGGUCUGAGAGGAUGGCCAGCCACAUUGGGACUGAGAUACGGCCCAGACUCCUACGGGAGGCAGCAGUGGGGAAUCUUGCGCAAUGGCCUAACGGCUGACGCAGCGACGCCGCGUGUGGGAUGAAGCUCCUCGGAGUGUAAACCACUGUUGCCCGGGACGAAUAGCUCGAUUAAUCGAGCCUGACGGUACCGGGUGAGGAAGCACCGGCUAACUCCGUGCCAGCAGCCGCGGUAAUACGGGGGGUGCGAGCGUUGUCCGGAAUCACUGGGCGUAAAGGGCGCGUAGGUGGUUUGAUAAGGGUGUGGUGAAA